AGGGACGCCUGGGGUGGUGGCGUGGAGAUGGUUACCCAGGUAACAGAAGCGCUUCCCCGAUGCCUUCCCUGCCGUGCUAGCUUUCAGAGACGGAUGGCUGGGAAGUAAUGCAGGAAUUGCCGCUGGGGCCUGAUCGCCGAGAGAAAGAUGAGCCAGACCGAAACUUUUUGGAAGGAGAGGGCUUCACUUCAAAAGGGAAAGAAAGAGCCUACUUAGCACCCACUUCAGAAACCAUCACCAAGACACAGAUACAAACUCCUAGUGUACCCAGGAGUUGGUACACACAGCCAAAGUUGUUCUUCUGAAGCAAAGGAGGAAUAAGGGUUAACAUCAAUGAAGAAGGCUCUAUGAAUUA